rnacentral:rRNA from 1 species
UGGGGAAUUUUGGACAAUGGGCGCAAGCCUGAUCCAGCCAUGCCGCGUGCGGGAAGAAGGCCUUCGGGUUGUAAACCGCUUUUGUCAGGGAAGAAAUCUUCUGAGUUAAUACCUCGGGAGGAUGACGGUACCUGAAGAAUAAGCACCGGCUAACUACGUGCCAGCAGCCGCGGUAAUACGUAGGGUGCAAGCGUUAAUCGGAAUUACUGGGCGUAAAGCGUGCGCAGGCGGUUUUGUAAGACAGAGGUGAAAUCCCCGGGCUCAACCUGGGAACUGCCUUUGUGACUGCAAGGCUUGAGUGCGGCAGAGGGGGAUGGAAUUCCGCGUGUAGCAGUGAAAUGCGUAGAUAUGCGGAGGAACACCGAUGGCGAAGGCAAUCCCCUGGGCCUGCACUGACGCUCAUGCACGAAAGCGUGGGGAGCAAACAGGAUUAGAUACCCUGGUAGUCCACGCCCUAAACGAUGUCAACUGGUUGUUGGGAAGGUUCCUUCUCAGUAACGUAGCUAACGCGUGAAGUUGACCGCCUGGGGAGUACGGCCGCAAGGUUGAAACUUAAAUG